CUCCGGUCCUGGAGCUGUCCCAGCUUCCCAGGUGUGGAAACUGAAGGACCGAGAGCUUAAACGGGUGUGCUGAGUAAACUCAUAGGCUGAGAUUCGAAUUCUCCUCCCCCAACGAGGCUGUAGCCUGUGCUCUCUUCCUUGGUCACCACGUUUCUUUGCGAGCUGAUGGAGGAAAGCGUGAGGAAUGAUAAGGCCCUGGAGACGAAGAACGCGAGCUUAUCGCUGUCUCACAUGCGCACGCUUAGGCGUUUGAGAGCUCACAGGCCCACUUGCAUAACCACUUUCUUGAUAGCGGAGUUACAGCUUGAGAGCACGGGGCUUUGUGCACGGCCAGACCUAGAGACUAGUCCUGGGCCUGCUACUGGCCGUUGUGACACCUUAAGUCAUUUCCCCUAUUCUGAGACUCCGUUUCCUCGUCUGUAAGGUGGAAAGAAUAGUAUCUGUUUCAUAGGAUCACAGAAUCUCUGACGACAAAUGGGAAUUCUCACUGAUUUCUAGGACUACCCUGGGGCAGAAAAAGAAGAUAUAGAAAAUUACCUUUUCGCUUUGGCUGGAAGGAGGAUAUCAGCUCGAGGGAAGGCAGUGGACGGUAAUUGGCCUG